GGGAAUGUGGCUUAGUGGUAGAGUGCUUGCCUAGCAUGCAUGAAACCUGGGAUUCAUUUCCU
rnacentral:tRNA from 1 species